rnacentral:rRNA from 1 species
CAGGUCUUGACAUCCCUCUGACCGGUCUAGAGAUAGACCUUUCCUUCGGGACAGAGGAGACAGGUGGUGCAUGGUUGUCGUCAGCUCGUGUCGUGAGAUGUUGGGUUAAGUCCCGCAACGAGCGCAACCCUUAUGCUUAGUUGCCAGCAGGUCAAGCUGGGCACUCUAAGCAGACUGCCGGUGACAAACCGGAGGAAGGUGGGGAUGACGUCAAAUCAUCAUGCCCCUUAUGACCUGGGCUACACACGUACUACAAUGGCCGGUACAACGGGAAGCGAAGGAGCGAUCUGGAGCCAAUCCUAGAAAAGCCGGUCUCAGUUCGGAUUGUAGGCUGCAACUCGCCUACA